rnacentral:lncRNA from 1 species
UUUAGUACUAAAACAUUUUGCAUUAGCUUUAGGCAACUUCAAAGACAGUCCUAUAACACUUUGUUUUCCCUUUUGUUUUGAUAAUACAUCAAUCACAUCCUCCUGAUCACACAACCUGCUACGUUUCUCAGGCCUCCUUGGUGAUUCCUCACGAACAAUUUCUCUUCCCAUAUCUCGCAACAAACCAUGCAUUCCAAGCAUGUUCUUAUCAUCAACACUCACAAGGCUUCUCUCAACAAGGACGCUUAUUCCAAUUUCUGCAUGAAGUCCACAGUCAUUUAA